AACAAACGCUGGCGGCAGGCCUAACACAUGCAAGUCGAGCGGAUGAGUGGAGCUUGCUCCAUGAUUCAGCGGCGGACGGGUGAGUAAUGCCUAGGAAUCUGCCUGGUAGUGGGGGACAACGUUUCGAAAGGAACGCUAAUACCGCAUACGUCCUACGGGAGAAAGUGGGGGAUCUUCGGACCUCACGCUAUCAGAUGAGCCUAGGUCGGAUUAGCUAGUUGGUGAGGUAAAGGCUCACCAAGGCGACGAUCCGUAACUGGUCUGAGAGGAUGAUCAGUCACACUGGAACUGAGACACGGUCCAGACUCCUACGGGAGGCAGCAGUGGGGAAUAUUGGACAAUGGGCGAAAGCCUGAUCCAGCCAUGCCGCGUGUGUGAAGAAGGUCUUCGGAUUGUAAAGCACUUUAAGUUGGGAGGAAGGGCAGUAAGUUAAUACCUUGCUGUUUUGACGUUACCAACAGAAUAAGCACCGGCUAACUUCGUGCCAGCCGCCGCAGUAAGAC
rnacentral:rRNA from 1 species